GACGAGCUCUCGUGAUUUUCCUAGUCUCGCGCGAUUUCCUUUUCAAACGUAUAUUUUGUCCCUGUUCCGAGUUGAUUUUUUUUUCCUGUGCACGCAGAGUUCCGGAGCUCUUUAGAGGAGGUCCACCGUCCGAGUGAGGAAAACAUAAGGAACUGCUGGUUGCAUCUGCAUUACAUUUGAAUUUCCUAGAGGCUGCUGGAAAGAGAGCUACUUGCAGUGAAUUCAGGGGGACUGAGACAAAGUCCAGUGGAGCAAGGACACUCUAAAAUUUUCAUGCCUGUGGACUAACAUUAUCACGGGUGGAUUCCAUGUCUUUCCUUCGGUGGAUGUCUGAAAAAUUUAUUCUUGAGGGCUUACGGGAAUUGGAACUCUUUGGAGACCAAUGAAGCAAGUUCAGAGUCAAUAGCAU
rnacentral:lncRNA from 1 species